GUGGGGAAUAUUGGACAAUGGGCGAAAGCCUGAUCCAGCCAUGCCGCGUGUGUGAAGAAGGUCUUCGGAUUGUAAAGCACUUUAAGUUGGGAGGAAGGGCAGUAAGUUAAUACCUUGCUGUUUUGACGUUACCGACAGAAUAAGCACCGGCUAACUUCGUGCCAGCAGCCGCGGUAAUACGAAGGGUGCAAGCGUUAAUCGGAAUUACUGGGCGUAAAGCGCGCGUAGGUGGUUUUGUAAGUUGGAGGUGAAAUCCCCGGGCUCAACCUGGGAACUGUCUCCAAAACUGCAUGACUAGAGUACGGUAGAGGGUAGUGGAAUUUCCUGUGUAGCGGUGAAAUGCGUAGAUAUAGGAAGGAACACCAGUGGCGAAGGCGACUACCUGGACUGAUACUGACACUGAGGUGCGAAAGCGUGGGGAGCAAACAGGAUUAGAAACCCCGGUAGUCC
rnacentral:rRNA from 1 species